AUCAAGUGAAAGACCGGCAAAACAAUCGAAUAGAUGACGGACUUGAAAAUUUUUUACUAAAAAUUUGUUUUAGGUCAAAUGACCAAUUGAACGGCUGAUCAAAUUAAAUUUUCACUAAAAUUUUUGGUGAAGAAAAAUUUGAAUACACGUGGGAGAUGCUCUAAUUAACCACUCUCGAUUCACGUCUCCCUCCCUCUGCCUAAAAUCACCCGUAAAACCGUGAGUCGCCGCCGGCAAUUUCUCUCUCUCUCUCUCUCUCUCUGUAGCUUUCUAAUUUAACAACAACAACAAUAAUGGCGUCGUCGGUCACUCUCUUUCCUCGCUCUAUCUUUUACUCUUCCUCUUCCUUCCCAGAAUCAAUCUCUCUCUCUACCAGGCCGCAUCGUAACAUCCUCCUCCUCCAAUUCCACCUUCAUCGAACCUAUCCCCGAAUCCAAGCUUCCAGACGAAUCUCCAAUUUCCCUCAGGAAGGUAGUGGCUUGGUAGAUGACCCACGCAAUUGGAAUCGCAAACAAGGACUCGCAAUGGAAGAUUGACACCUUAAAAUUUUGAUAAUUCAGGCAUCAUAAUAAAUACAACUUUGUUGGGGUUUUCUGUCAAUGGAUUGAUAUUGUUGACAUUUUUGUGGGUUUUGAAGGCAUUCCUUAAGGUGGUUUGCACCCUCGGGAGUGUAGUGUUUGUAAGCAUCUUGCUUAUCCGUGGCAUAUGGUCUGGUGUGUCCUAUUUACAAGACAGCCGCAAAUAUAGGGUGAGUGAAUUUGAUGAUGAGCGCCAGGCAUGGAAUGGUGCGCAGCCCGCAUCUUGAUUUGUCCACUCUGAUGAUUCCAAACAAGAACAAUCUUAUGUUUGAAAAGGGUAACAGGGGAGUAUGCAUCAGAUUUGGUUCUCAUCUUAUGAGAAUGAUUUUCCCUGUUUGAAGAUUCAACACAAGCCAUAUGAGUACUCUGAUAUCUGUGGCAUACAUAAUCAAAACCAUAACGAGUGCUAAUUAUUCACUGGGGCAAAGCUACUAUUCUCUUCUCUUUUACUCUUUUGCUUUCAGUGCACCAAAGAUCGUUAUCUAACAUGGUACACAUUGCUCGACUUGCACUCAACCGACAAAGAGCAGGGUCUCAUUAGUAAGCAACCCUUAUUUUCUCUUGAUAUAUCAAGUAUACCUGUAUACCCCUUUUAUUUUUCUGUUGAGUGUUGAACAAAACGGUGCUUAUUAAAUGUGAAUAAUAAUUUACUUGGUCACCACCAUGUAGACCAGACUUUAUAGGUUGUGUUUUGCCGUUCUUCAGAUGAGAAGUGAAUCGAGCUUCUUUUGAGAAUUGGCUUCCUACUACUGCUGCACUGUAUGAAUACUAUUAAAUCGCCUGGGCAAGGACUAGGGGUGUAACUGGGGCUGGUUCGAUCGGAUUGAAAGGUUUGUUCAAGCUCAACUCAAGUUGUGUUGAGAUCUGCCCAAAACCGAAUUGUAACCAGAGAUUGCUUGUCCAAGGCCGACCCGAGUUAAACUCGAGUUGUCCGAAUUGUAAAUAUUAUAUAUGUAUAUAUAUAUAUAUAUAUAUUUUUAGGCAGCUACAUUAUUAAAUUAUUAAAAUUUGACUCUAUUUACAUUUUUUUAAUAGAAAAUCAUUAAUACCAUCAAA